rnacentral:rRNA from 1 species
GACGAACGCUGGCGGCGUGCUUAACACAUGCAAGUCGAACGAUGAUGCCAGCUUGCUGGUGGAUUAGUGGCGAACGGGUGAGUAACACGUGAGCAACCUGCCCCUGACUUCGGGAUAACCGCGGGAAACCGUGGCUAAUACCGGAUAUGACGCGCUAUCGCAUGGUGGUGUGUGGAAAGAUUUAUCGGUUGGGGAUGGGCUCGCGGCCUAUCAGCUUGUUGGUGGGGUGAUGGCCUACCAAGGCGACGACGGGUAGCCGGCCUGAGAGGGUGACCGGCCACACUGGGACUGCGACACGGCCCAGACUCCUACGGGAGGCAGCAGUGGGGAAUAUUGCACAAUGGGCGCAAGCCUGAUGCAGCGACGCCGCGUGAGGGAUGACGGCCUUCGGGUUGUAAACCUCUUUCAGUAGGGAAGAAGGCCUUCGGGUUGACGGUACCUGCAGAAGAAGCGCCGGCUAACUACGUG